rnacentral:tRNA from 1 species
CAUUAAGAAGCUUUAUGAUAGCAACAGCCUUUUAAGCUGCAGAUAGGUGAUUACAACCACCCUUAAUGA